rnacentral:rRNA from 1 species
GGAUAAACGCUGGCGGCGUGCAUGAGACAUGCAAGUCGAACGAACGAGCUUGCUCGUUAGUGGCGGACGGCUGAGUAACGCGUAGGUGACCUGCCCCGAAGUGGGGGAUAACUGCCCGAAAGGGUGGCUAAUACCGCAUGUGGCGACGCUUUCAUUGGCGUCAUCAAAGCCGCGAGGCGCUUCGGGAGGGGCCUGCGUCCGAUUAGCUCGUUGGUGGGGUAAUGGCUCACCAAGGCGACGAUCGGUAGGUGGUCUGAGAGGACGAUCACCCAGACUGGGACUGAGACACGGCCCAGACUCCUACGGGAGGCAGCAGUCGGGAAUUUUGCUCAAUGGGCGCAAGCCUGAAGCAGCAACGCCGCGUGCGGGAUGAAGGCCUUCGGGUUGUAAACCGCUUUUGUCAGGGACGAUGAUGACGGUACCUGGCGAAUAAGUCACGGCUAACUACGUGCCAGCAGCCGCGGUAAUACGUAGGUGACCAGUGUUGUCCGGAUUUACUGGGCGUAAAGAGCGCGCAGGCGGUCGUUCAAGUCGAGUGUGAAAGCCCCCGGCUCAACUGGGGAGGGUCAUUCGAUACUGAUCGACUAGAAGGCAGGAGAGGGAAGCGGAAUUCCCGGUGUAGUGGUGAAAUGCGUAGAUAUCGGGAGGAACACCAGUGGCGAAGGCGGCUUCCUGGCCUGUUCUUGACGCUGAGGCGCGAAAGCUAGGGGAGCAAACGGGAUUAGAUACCCCGGUAGUCCUAGCCGUAAACGAUGGACACUAGGUGUUGGUGGUAUCAACCCCACCAGUGCCGAAGCUAACG